UGGGGAAUAUUGGGCAAUGGGGGAAACCCUGACCCAGCAACGCCGCGUGAAGGAAGAAGUAUUUCGGUAUGUAAAGCUCUAUCAGCAGGGGAGAUAAUGACGGUACCUGACUAAGAAGCACCGGCUAAAUACGUGCCAGCAGCCGCGGUAAUACGUAUGGUGCAAGCGUUAUCCGGAUUUACUGGGUGUAAAGGGAGCGCAGGCGGUGCGGCAAGUCUGAUGUGAAAGCCCGGGGCUCAACCCCGGUACUGCAUUGGAAACUGUCGUACUAGAGUGUCGGAGGGGUAAGUGGAAUUCCUAGUGUAGCGGUGAAAUGCGUAGAUAUUAGGAGGAACACCAGUGGCGAAGGCGGCUUACUGGACGAUAACUGACGCUGAGGCUCGAAAGCGUGGGGAGCAAACAGGAUUAGAUACCCUGGUAGU
rnacentral:rRNA from 1 species